UACGUAGGGGGCUAGCGUUGUCCGGAUUUAUUGGGCGUAAAGAGCGUGUAGGUGGCCAGGUAGGUCUGGUGUGAAAACUCGAGGCUUAACCUCGAGAUGUCAUCGGAAACCAUUUGGCUAGAGUCCGGAAGAGGAGAGUGGAAUUCCUGGUGUAGCGGUGAAAUGCGCAGAUAUCAGGAAGAACACCAAUGGCGAAAGCAGCUCUCUGGGACGGUACUGACGCUGAGACGCGAAAGCGUGGGGAGCGAACAGG
rnacentral:rRNA from 1 species